rnacentral:lncRNA from 1 species
AAAUAAACUUAACUUGGAAUCGCUCAUAUUUUUUUGAUAAUUUAAGGAUCAGCAAGAUAGAUUGUGAAAAAUAGAGAUAGAGUAGAGAAUCUCGCUGACUAACUUUAUUUCAUCUUUCUCCGGAAACUGGACUAUAUUUUAGAUUGCAUUUGGUGAUCUAAAUUGGAUCAUCAAGAUGAUUUAAAUAAUCAAUGAUCCUGACCCUCCGUUAAUAUCACCAUGUAUGACAUACUAUAUUCUAGCAAUUUAAUAUUUUUAUAUAUCUAUGAGUGACCUAUUUGAUAUCAAGAUCAC